rnacentral:rRNA from 1 species
UACAGAGGUCUCAAGCGUUUGUUCGGAUUCAUUGGGCGUAAAGGGCGCGUAGGCGGCGGGGUAAGUCGGGUGUGAAAUCUCAGAGCUCAACUCUGAAAUGGCACUUGAUACUGCUCUGCUAGAGGACUGGAGAGGAGAUUGGAAUUCACGGUGUAGCAGUGAAAAUGCGUAGAUAUCGUGAGGAAGACCGGUGGCGAAGGCGGAUCUCUGGACAGUUUCCUGACGCUGAGGCGCGAAAGGCCCAGGGGGGAGCAAAACGGGG